UUCAGAUAUUUCGUAGCGCUAUAAUUGGCCGUCCAAAAAUACUUGGGAUGUACUUAGUUUCUAUGCAAGGGGAAUGAUGGCAAAGAGAAUCUCUUACUCAAGAGGGAGAGGUUUUGCACACACUAGGGCAUGUUGAUAAUGAAUUCAAUUUCAAAAUGUCAAAAAUGAUGAUAUGCACUGGGUUAUGAUCAAAUUGAAUUGAUUCCAUUGCUUUCAAUAUAUCUGAUUUGACCGUUUGAUCUACUGCAUGUAACAGAGGUUAUCAACUUAUCAGUAUGGAAUACAUAAUGUAGUUAGCAAGACGUAGAGGCACCUUUAGCUUGUAACCAUCUCCAUGGGAUGGUGUGGAAAUUUUUUCUUAGAAUUCGUAUUCAUGCUUACUGUAUGCUAAUAGGUCUUGACGACUUUAUAGUGCCAACAAAGUAUUUGAAAUCACCCUGGAUAGCCCACUUACAUCUGGAAAGUCUGUGAAAGUAACUGUUGAUAUGGUAUUCUCUCAUGGCUUGAGGACAUUCCCUGAGAAAAUUGGCCAAGCGGAAAAACAAAAUGUUCUGUUCGAAGGAAAUCAUUAUUUCUGAUCCUGAUUUAAGUUUUUCAGAUAUUUAGUAGCCUAUAACAGGUUGAGUCAUUUGGUCUACAUACUGUAGCUUUUCAAAUUUCUUUUUAUAGACAGUUUUAGUAACUUUUGAAAAUUGAAAAAUCGCGCUGCGUUACAAAAUUGGAUUCGAUGUGUCUGGGCUUUUACGUUAUCAUUUAGAAGUGUCAAACAUCGUUAUUGUCUUGUCCGUUGUCGACUUCUGUGAACUCUGCGUGCGCGAGAAAGUGCGCAAUCCAUAACUUGGAGUGAACAAUAAUUCCAGACACAAGUACUGACUGAAUUGUUGUGUGACAACAAGGGAGGCACAUGUC